UGCUCUCUUUGCACUGUUUCACUCUGACUGCUGUACAAAGACCAAGAUAAGGAAAAGGAGGCCAAAAGCACCACAAGAAAAUCUGGAAUUUCAACGUCUCCUUCCAACAAAGGCACCAGACGAGAGCAACCCUUAUGGAAGAUGACUACAAAGAGCGCAUAGACCCCUGCAGAUUCCCUGGUAGAUGUGUUGCUGCUGCUUAACAAUCCCAAACCUGUGGUCAAGCGCUUGCUGGUCUCCAUCUGUGCACCCUUGUGAAACUCCAGAUGACUGCAGACAUCUAGAAAACCCCUGAACAAAUAUUUAGAAAAGGAGAGAGAGCCUCAUACUGGAGCUCAGCGGGGAGCAUGAAGAACAUCUCACUUUGGUUGGACCUGUGGACAGUCUUCCAGCUUUAAUAGGGAGAGUGAUUACUAGUCUUCAGAAAUUGAGAUAACCAUUUCCAGCCAUAUUUCAUAUUGAGACAGGGGAGUGAAAUUCUGAAACCUCUUAGAGUGGAAAACAAUUUCCCACCAAGCUGUCCUCAGAUGAGAUUGCAGAAAUUCUCUUCUGUUUUCUCCUUCUUCCCUGGUUCUUUUACCACGCAGUUCUCUUCAUGCCACUCUCCAAGACAAAAUCCGAGCCCAGCUGAGAUUUGUGCUAAUGAAAAAUGUUAUUUCAGAUGGGAAAGAGUACUGUCCUGAGGAAUGGCAUUUUCUCCAAUUUGCUGUAAAACUGAAGAUGAGCAGUGCAAUGGCCAGCACUGAGCUGGAAUAUGCAAGUAAUGUGCACGGGCAUGACUCCAGUUGCAUCUGUGGACACAAAAGGGAAGAUCAGAUUCUCCACUCUGCGGCUGAAUUGUGAAAGGUUAAAGCAGCACAACAUGAAAUACUUAGUGCCUGGAUCUAUAAAGGUGCAGCUGGUCCCACAGUCACCUACUGUACCCUUGGCUGCACCCAUCUCA